AACGAACGCUGGCGGCAUGCCUAACACAUGCAAGUCGAACGCUGAAGGAGGAGCUUGCUCUUCUGGAUGAGUUGCGAACGGGUGAGUAACGCGUAGGUAACCUGCCUGGUAGCGGGGGAUAACUAUUGGAAACGAUAGCUAAUACCGCAUAACAGUAGAUGUUGCAUGACAUUUACUUAAAAGGUGCAAUUGCAUCACUACCAGAUGGACCUGCGUUGUAUUAGCUAGUUGGUGGGGUAACGGCUCACCAAGGCGACGAUACAUAGCCGACCUGAGAGGGUGAUCGGCCACACUGGGACUGAGACACGGCCCAGACUCCUACGGGAGGCAGCAGUAGGGAAUCUUCGGCAAUGGACGGAAGUCUGACCGAGCAACGCCGCGUGAGUGAAGAAGGUUUUCGGAUCGUAAAGCUCUGUUGUAAGAGAAGAACGAGUGUGAGAGUGGAAAGUUCACACUGUGACGGUAUCUUACCAGAAAGGGACGGCUAACUACGUG
rnacentral:rRNA from 1 species